rnacentral:misc_RNA from 1 species
AGAUAUUUAAAGUGAUUAUUUUGGAGCAAUACCUCAAUCAUCAGUUCUGCAAAGGAACUGCACGGAUGAUCAUUUCCUCCUAACCAAAAAAGAGAGCUGAUACAAAACACCUACGCUGAUUUUAGAGCUGAUACAAUUGAUUGAAAGUGGUGUGCAAAAGAGAGAAGAUGAGGAAAGAAGAACAAGGCAGACCAUGAUAUGCAUGAUGCACCCAUACAGGUACUCAUAACAAAGAAACCAUUUCAUAAGGUCUAGAGAUCAAUGCUUACAUAGGAUUUAGCAUCCAUUGGACACAUAAGAGAAAAAUGCUUGCAUAAAAUAAUUAUAAUCCUCCAGUUGAAUCUUUCCAAUACAAGCUUAUAGUUACCCAAAUUCACAUUGUAACUUGCAGUUUGACCCAUCAAAUAUGAAUUUUGUUAAUGAAAAAGUCAAAUGCAAAUAUAUCAAUUAAGAUGUACAAUCUUGCUGCUAAAAUGCACAAAUCCCAUAAAAGAACAUUGUAAAUAUUGCACUGUACAAUGAGAGCUAUAAAGAAUAUGAUGACAUCAGCUACAUGAACUAUAUAUGAAUCUAUGAAGUGAAGGUCAAAAUAAGCGGUUAUUUUUACACUCACCAUAAGUCAAUGAACUUGUCAAUAACUUCAAAAGAAAAAUCCUUGAAAAGUUCCACUAUUAUAGUGCCUUUUGAAGUAUUUAAAAUCUAGUAACAAAAUGAAAAUCCAGCAUUGUUACAAUAAAAAUCAUGUGUACACCUCAACCAAAUUGCAUAGGAAUGGAAAGUAUGUAACAACGCCAAAGAAAAGAAAUGGGUGACGCCACUGCAUUUCAAUAACAAUGUGAUGGUUCUGGAGCUGACGAUAGACCUUUAUGAAACUGAGUAUUUUGAACAACAUACAUGAGGUGUAGAGCACAAGAAGCCUAAAAUAGUUGGCUGACCUCCAUUAAUGGCUUUUUAACAGGUAGCUGAACCCUCCCACUAAUUACUCCCCUACUAAUAAAAUUCCUUUCAAUACAAAUGUGUCUUAAGCAAAGUAGCAUGUCCACAUAGAAGGCCCCUCCAAUGACAAACGAAAUCACACUCAAACAGCAUUUCUUUGAUUUCUUGUUUCAUAUCUUCUAAUACAAAUGGGUGGGAAGUAUAUUAAUCCAACUCAACUCAACUCAACUA